rnacentral:tRNA from 1 species
GGGGCCGUGGCGGAACGGUAGACGCAGGGGACUUAAAAUCCUCCUCCGCGCGAGCGGAACUCCCGGUUCGAGUCCGGGCGGCCCUA